rnacentral:lncRNA from 10 species
ACAACAUGCAGACAUUUAAGUCGAGAGACUGGGACUUCAGGCCCUAAUGGCAGCUAUAAUUUGGAAGUCAAAUGCAGCAGGGAGCUCUUAGAGCUGAUGCAUGAUUCCUGCAUACAGGCAGCCAAGCACAUCUCAACUAAUGACAGCCAUGUCCCUGACUCUCCCCGGACACAUAUGACCAGUGGUUGCCAUGCCAGGUGGACAGGAGGAGGCAGUGCCUGCCUGAAGGAAGAACUCAGUAACUGGUGCUGCAGGAGCGUUUUGCUUCCUCUCUGUUGUGAAUGCCUCGGCUCCAGCUGGCCAAGCAGCCAGCUCACCCCUGAUGGAAUGUCACUCACAUGUUUCCCAUUGUUGUAUAACAAGUUACCACGAACAUAGUGGCAUGGAACAACAACCACUCGUCAUCUCACAGUUCUGCAGGUCAGAAGCCCAUGCAGACUCCACUGGGUUCUCUGCCAAGGGCCUCACAAGGCCAACAUCAAGGCACUGGGUGGGUUGACUCCCAUCUGGAGGCUGUGGGGAAGAAUCUGCUUCCAGGCACACCCAGGUUGAUGGCAGAGUUCAGUUCCUUGUGGGUAUCAGACUGAGGGUUCCUGUUUCCCUGCUGGAUAUGUCAUCCAGGGGACAGUCUUUGCUCCUAGAGGCCAUGCACCUUCCUUUUCAUGCUCCCCAUGUGACACCCUCACACUUUGACUCUCUGACUCCCUUCUCUGACAGCAGCCAGAGAAAACCUUAUAUAUUAGUCCAUUCUCACACUGCUAUAAAGAAAUGCCCACGACUGGGUAAUUUAUAAAGGAAAGAGGUUUAAUUGAUUCACUGUUCCACAUGGCUGGGGAGGCCUCAGGAAACUUACAAUCACGGCAGAAGGUGAAGGGGAAGCAAGCACGUCUUACAUGGCAGCAGGUGAUGAAGACUGUGUGAAGGAGGAACUGUCGAAGACUCAUAAAACCAUCAGAUUUCAUGAUAACUCACUCACUGUCAUGAGAACAGCAUGGGGGAAAACUGCUCCUAUGAUCCAAUCACCUCCCACCAGCUCCCUUUCUUGACAUACGGGGAUUAUGGGGAAUACAAUUUGGGUGGGGACACAGAGACAAACAAUACCGCCUUCUGCUUUUAAUGGCUUAUGCAGUUAGAUUAGACUCACCUUGAUAAUCUGCCUUUGGAUUCACUCAAAGUCAACUGAUUAGUAACCCUAAUUCCAUGUGCAAAAUCCCUUUUGCCAUGUAACUUAUCAUCAUCAUGGACGUGGUAUCACAAUACCUUUUUGGUCCUGGGAUUGAGGUGGGAAAUCCUGGGGCCAUUUUAAGGUUCCUUUUACCUUGUUACUACACUCAGGGGUGAUAGAAGCCCACAGUUCAGUCAAUAUCAGAUUCUCCUGCCACUCACUCUGGAUGCCACAGUGAGGUUCAUGGGGUAGUUGGAGGCCAUGGCUCUGUGGAGGUGGGGGAAGGGAAAGUGCUGAAGUCUGGGGAGGCAUCUAUAGACAGAUCCCCCAACUCAGUGGGAUCUAGUGCAGAUUCUGGUGACUACACUUGGGAGUAGUUCCUUUUUCUCUUCUGAGGGUUUGACCAAGGCCAGCUGGUAAUCUGUUCACUCACUAAGUAUGUAGAUCAGAGAAAGUGAUGAGUCAAUGCUAACACCUCUGGUUCUUUUUGAGUUUCUGAGGUUGAAUGCAGUGACAAUUUUGUGGCAAGAUGAUCUUAAAUGUUUUGGAAGCAAAAGCAUUUUUUGUUGAAAGAAGGCUGGUUGUCACUAUGUAUAUAUAUUUGGUGAUGAGGAUGGGACCCCGUAGGGGUAGGAGAGCACCAACCUGGAGCAGGUGGUGCAGGCCCCCUCCAGGCCCAUCUGGAAUUUGAGCAGAUCCUGUGUUAAAGGACCACCUAGGCCCCUUGAGGAGUCUGGCACCAUUGUGCCCAUCCCCUGAAAUGAGCAUGGUGUGGUGUUGUUACUCCUUUUACAGAAACUUAAGUAGAAGACGCUUAAGAGCCAAGUUUU